rnacentral:tRNA from 1 species
CCCCUACUGGCUCAGCUGUAAAGAAUCUGCCUGCAAAGCAGGAGACCUGGGUUCGAUCCCUUGGUCAGGAA